AUGUGGGAACAUAGGGUCUAAUUUUAGAUAAAAAUCUUAGAAAUGUGGGAACAUAGGGGUCUAAUUUUGCAUAAAAAUCUUGUAAAUGUGGGAACAUAGGGUCUAAUUUUAGAUAAAAAUCAUGUAAAUGUAGGAACAUAGGGUCUAAUUUUACAUAAAAAUCUUGUAAAUGUGGGAACAUAGGGUCUAAUUUUGCAUAACAAUCUUGUAAAUGUGGGAACAUAGGGUCUAAUUUUGCAUAACAAUCUUAGAAAUGUGGGAACAUAGGGUCUAAUUUUAGAUAGAAAUCUUGUAAAUGUGUGAACAUAGGGUCUAAUUUUAGAUAAAAAUCUUAGAAAUGUGGGAACAAAGGGUCUAAUUUU